GCCUCCUCUUCCUUCGUCCCUCUGCUAUCCGUCGAAAGAGCAGAAGGCUUUCGAUCCCUUUGUCCUUAAACUCCCCAUCGGACCCGAUCUCGGGUGCUCCGUCUCCAUUCUCGAAGCUCUGAUCAUUGGGCUAAGAAAGAUCUGGGGAUUGGAGGGCGGAACGAACGACGACGAGGGUGGAAGGUCGACGCGAUCGGAGGUUGGAGUCUCUUCCAUUGGAUGCCUUGGCGGAUCCCAUGCCGUCGAUUUGAUCGUCGAAGUCCGAAGUAGAUGUUCCGUAAGAACGACUCGGCCUUGUCCUGCUUCUAUCUCUUCUUGCUCUGGUUCUUCUUCCUAAAAUAGCGAGGAAGGAUCCGAACCCUAAGCUGCGACGAGUGCUUUGCGAUGGGGAAGAGGUCGAACCGGAUCGAGGACGAGUUUCUUGGAGGAGCGAUGUUGGACCUCAACUUGGCGUCUUCCAGCGAGCGCUCUGGCGCCGGGCAGGUGGAUGAUUCCAGGAGUUCCAAUUCGUCCGGCCUCAACGCCGAGGUGAUGGUCCAUGUGAUCGACGAGGAUUACUGCUCCACCCAGCCUGCCGCUGCCUUCGAAUUCAGUAUCUUGAAGAGCUGUACGUCGGGUGAAGUCGGGAAUGAAGUCGAAGAGGAGAACGAGGACGAUCGGCGACAACCUGCUCUAGUCACGAGGCAGCUGUUUCCACCACCGCCGGUGGUUCCGCAUGUUUCCCAACUGCCCAUGGUUGCUUCUUCCUCGUCGUCAACCAGGCCGCAUUGGUUGGAUUUUACGUUCUCGCAUGCCGAGGCACCAACGGAGUUGAGAGUUAUCCAUAAGCAGCAGCAGCAGCAGCAACAACAACAACAACCACAACCGCAGCAGCAGCAGCAGCAGCAACAACAACAACAACAACCACAACCGCAACAGCAGGUGAAGAGGAGUCGAAGGGGGCCACGGUCUCGGAGCUCUCAGUAUCGAGGCGUUACCUUCUACCGCAGGACAGGGAGAUGGGAAUCUCACAUCUGGGAUUGCGGCAAACAAGUUUAUUUGGGUGGUUUUGACACGGCUGAUGCUGCCGCAAGGGCAUAUGAUCGAGCUGCGAUUAGAUUUCGUGGAGUUGAUGCUGACAUCAACUUCAAUCUCAGCGACUAUGAAGAAGAUCUGAAAGAGAUGAAAAAUCUACCAAAGGAAGAAUUUGUGCAUGCUCUUCGUCGCCAAAGCACUGGGUUCUCGAGGGGAAGUUCAAAAUAUAGGGGAGUGACUCUUCACAAGUGUGGUCGCUGGGAAGCUCGCAUGGGGCAAGUCCUUGGCAAGAAGUACAUAUAUCUUGGGUUAUUCGACAGCGAAAUAGAAGCUGCAAGGGCUUAUGACAAAGCAGCUAUAAAGUAUAAUGGAAAGGAGGCUGUUACAAAUUUUGAUCCAAGUGCCUACGAAGAAGAACUACUUUUGGAGGGUGAUAAAGAAGGCCAUGAUAUGGAUCUGAAUUUAAGGAUUUCGCAACCUGCUGUCCACAAUCAGAGAGGGAAUCAAAAUCCAACGGGUGUUCAAUUUGAAGCUUCUGAUGCUGACAAAGCAAGACAGGAUGAGACAGAAGAGCUCUGAGUAGGUUGGUUCACAAGCUCUCACUGUUUCCGUCUGCAGAAUCACCAGGAUGCUGCUCUUUAUCAACAGCAAUGACCACCUUAAACAACCCAUGGUCUCCGUUUCUCCCCAGAAGCUGUUUCAGUAUCGGUGCAAUGUUGCAGACAAAACAACAGUGAACAUGCUGUAAACCUAUCAACAGGGUACAACAGCAAAAAGCAACAAGUGCAAGUGGACCUGUACCUGGAUAUUAAACUACUCCGCUCCCGAUCUCACAAUUGCCACUGCCUAUCUUUCAACCAUUAAAAGGAAAAGGAUAAGCCGCAAAUUAUUAGAGACGUACCACCGUUCGUCCAAACACCACCAGAAGACUCUUCCCACAUAAGCCAAAUUUAAUUUCACAUCUGCCUUCUCGGGCUUCGUCUUCGUUGUUCCGGAGGCUCAAAGCCCACAAGUGUUACAUCCAGCAUCACUUGGAGAUUUUGUUAAUUUCCCUUACAUUUUGUUCUCCAAGAAUCACUUGGAGAUUUAGCAAUCUUGCCAACACACUUGUGCAAGGUUGGAGUUGCAGGUUUUCCAUUCGGCCUUACAUCAGUAGUCUUCAGGGGCGUCAUCCCUGAAUUCAGAUACAGCAAGAUCCUAACAAGUUACUGUGAAGAUAAGAAGAUAAUGCAUCACCAUCAUGGUUUGGUCUCCGAUCCAACUUAGAAUACUCCCACGGAAGAAUGCAAGGCGAUGUAGUUGCCAUUACUUUGGGCUAAAAUUCUAGUGUUAUACCAUGCAAUGGUGAGCAUAAGAAGAUUCCUAGGCCAUUGUCCUCGGGAAUCUUCGCUGAAUCUGAUCCCUAGACCACCUUCUGCACUGUCUUCCAGCUUUCCAAUCGAAAGCUAUGUCUUCCCCCAUUAUCUGCAUUGCUUUUAAGAAGGCCAAGCAAAAUCAUUCAAAAGCAAGCACUGGGGAAGAAAGAUCUCACCCUUUUUUUUUCCUCCCGCGUGCACCGACCACAACCAGGAGAGACAAAAAAAAAACAGAUGGAUCAGAUGCCAGAUCGAAUGGAAGAAGCUAAGGAAGGCAGGCCACACGAGGAGAAAGAAGACGAUGCAAAGAUCCGAGCACUGCCUCUUGGGCCACAACAAGGAAAGCAUAGAUAAAGUAGGAGAACCUCACUCGAGGGAAGACGAUGGAAUCCAGUGAUCUCUGUGGCCACGUCCCGCUUCCGCAUUUAUGUUCCUUCAUCCGUUCCAGUUGCAAUGCAGAUUUCAGUCUUUGUUGCUUGCUGUGGGGAGAUGCACGCAGCAUCAUCAACUCCUAUGGAACUGACGUGGGCUUGAAGUCUUCAACCUUUGUCGACCUCAGCCCUUCAUGUUCGACAUGUUCAUAUCCCUCAUAGUAGGCAGAGAAAGAAGACGGCCAAGUAAUGCCAACAGUUGCAGACAAUCACAAGUUAAAAAACACUUUCUUCA